rnacentral:lncRNA from 1 species
UGGAAUUGAGACAUGUGACAUGUUAAGAUGAGUGUUGUCUGUGAUUUCCUCUUCGCUUUCCAGAAUCUCUGUCCAGGGGAACGAACGAAGAAUAACGACGUAUUGGAUUGGAUGAAGAAAGUCAUGAUUGGAGCCAGCUGCGGUUGUCCUUGGCGACAUGGGAAGAGUGGAACUCGACAAGAUUGACAAGCGCGUCGCGGUGGGAGGAGUGAAGGGGAGUGUGAGAGACGCGCUAGGCACGGAGUGAGAUCCACGCGAGAAAGAGGAAGAUGACGAGAAGGAAUGGGAUGGGGUAAGGUCGCUGGAUGAACCAGGUGAUGAUAGAGGGACGGGUCUAUUGGGACGACGUCGUUUGGGAGUUUAUGAAGCUCAUUCUUCUCUGCGUCGCCAUUGUGUUGUUGUUCUUCUCUCUUUCUCUCUCUCUCAUUCUGCGAUUUUCGAAUUCGAUUUGGAAAUGAAAGUGGAAGAAGUCGAUUUGUUGUUCCUCUCUCUUUACUCUUUAAUUUCAUCACUAUAUUCGUUCCCUUCUUCUUCUUCACCGCAAAUUACAUUUUCACAGUGUUCGCCGCAAGGUUUAUUAUCUCCCGCAAAUGAUUAUUUUACCUUUUUACGCCAAUAUUUUAGAGACUAUUGUUGUUAUUUCAUAUUACAUUUCGUAAUUGUGCUUAAUCUUUGGUUAAUGAUAUAUGUUGUGUUAGCCGGUUAGGUUUUCAUGGUGUGUUGUGGAAUAUGGACCAAAACACAAUUGUUUUCUAGGUUUUAACUUUAUUUUUUUGUUUUCCAUCGUUGUCUUCGUAGAAUAUCUUCGAUGGCAUCCCAAAUUAUCUUUGAGUAGUCUGGAAUCAAUACAUUCGCCCAUGCUACCCAGACUAAGUUGCUUGAGCUCUUGGGAAAACUUAAACAAGAGGUUUUGUUUUUAUUUACCCUCUUCAAUUAUACCUAAGUUUAUUGACACGUCACAUCUCUGAAUCCCACCUCUCUGCCACAUAAGUAGCAUUUGACAUUGUAAGGUGCGAUUUAACGGAAAGGAUCAAUUUGUAUAUAUUUUAAAAAAUAUAGGGACCAAAUUGAUUUUUUUUAAAAUCACAAACCUAAAUUGAAUAUUGAUCCUAAAUAUAGGGACGAACAAGGUAAUUAUACCAUAAUGAUUUAGAAUAAGAUGUAGUAUACUCGUCUUUUAUUAAAUCUAAAGAAAAGUUUUUGUUUUUAUAUGAAUAUUUGAAUACUUAUAGGUUCUUUGCAUAUUUAAUGACAUAAACUUUGAUUUCAAAAGACACCUUAUAACCUUUAUCUAACCGUGAACAAACACUUAAUUUUUUUUAUUAAUCUUAAAAACAUAUAAAACAUAAAAAAUGAAUUUGACACUUGAAUUAAUUUUAAUUUCCUUUCAAAAUAAGUUGUUUUUCAUUCCCAAAUUUUGCUUUAGAAGUAUUGUUGAACUCUUUGAAAAGUUCUAGAUCAUGAGUCAUGUCAUGUGAUUUGUACAAUCAAUACCUAUAAGCCAAUCUUUAAUAGAUUUGUUCAUUGUAACACACCAUGUUGCAAGAAUGUUAGGAUUUGCAUAUAUUUUCUACAUGUCCCAAUUGACCACAUUGGUGUCAAUUCGCAUUUGGCCUCCACCAACAUUUGUUGUGUUGAUGAUUAUUUUUCUUACAAAGGGAGAAAAUGGGAAAACGCUUGUAUUGUAGUUUUAGUUGUAUUUGCUCAUUUUCUAGUUCUUCACUUUGAAAGCUCUUUCGAUAAUUGUUGGAGAUCCCACAUUGACUGGAGAUUAAGACAUUUCAUAGUAUAUAAGUGGGUGCAAAUUUCACCUUAUAAGUUGGUUUUAUGAGGUUGAGUUAAGCUUAAAGUCCACUACUUAAUAUGAUAUCAUGAAGAGCUCUGUUGCGCUCACUCUGGUUCCCUCUUUCUAAGUUUCUUAUUUUUUUUUGUAUUUUCUUAUACUGUUCUUUUGCGUUUUCUAAUCUCUUUUUUCCCUUCUUGUUUGUUUUGCAUUUUUUAUUUUGUUUUACAAUGGCUGAUCAAAACUCUGAUCGAAGCGAAAACCCUAACCCUGAUCAGAAUAAGAAUCCAAUUCAAGGUGAUAAUCUUGUUCACAACUUCUUGUAUUUGAACCCUAAUGAAAAUCUUGUGACUCCUCUUGUUUUCCCUAUUCUCGAUUCAACAAAUUAUCAUUCUUGAAGUCGUUCGGUCCUCACUGUGCUAAGUGCAAAGAACAAGGUAGAAUUUGUCAAUGGUGUAAUACCUUAACCUUUAGAAUUUGAUCCUUGAUUCUCGUCUUAGGUUCGCUGCAAUAAUUUGGUGGUAUCCUGGCUUGUACAUUUGGUUUCGGUCCCCAUACGAAAAAGCAUCAUAUGGAUGGAUAAGGCACUAGAUAUCUGGAACGAUCUUAAAGCCCACUACUCACAAGGCGACCUGUCUCGCAUUUUUUAUCUUCAAAUGGAGGCUUCCUCUCUCAAUCAAGGUGGUCUUUCUAUUACUGAUUACUUCAUUAAGCUUAGGGUUAUAUUGAAUGAAUUAGAUAAUUUUAAACCUGACCAUGUAUGCUCUUGUAAUGGUUUCUCUAUUAUUACUCAAAGAAAAAGAGAGGACCAAGCCAUGCAAUUCUUACAUGGCCUAAAUGAUCAAUACAAUAACAUAAAAGCCCAUGUCCUUCUUCUGAAACUUGUUCCUGCCAUUACUAAAAAAAAAUUCCCUUGUUGUUCAGCAAGAACGACAACUCAAAAAUAGUGUUUUGAUUGCCAAUAUAAAAAAUAGUAACCCUACUACUCAUACCAAUGUUGUCACCUGUUCUUUUUUUGUGGAAAAUUGGGUCACAAUGAAUCUGUUUGUUUUAAGAAAAACAGUUUUCCUAACCCAGAGGGUAAGAAACCAAAAUUUGGUAGUAACAACAGAAAAGUCUAUACAUAUUGUAAUAAGAUUGGGCACACUGUUGAUGUUUGUUACAAGAAACACGGGUAUCUUCCUAGGCAUAGAUCUCAGUAUGGAAAAUCCACUCAAAUCAACAAUGUCAUCACCUAAGAGGACAAUUCUAGUAAACAAGAUCAGACUAAACACAAUAAUGGUGGUGAUUCUUGCAUUCAAUUUUUUUGAAGAAUGUGAAUGUCUCUAAUGGUCAAGCUCAAGUGAACCAGGUUGGUUCCAUUUCUGUUGAUCUUCAGGAUCAAAACUCUACUGUCACAGGUAACUUUUAUAGACUCAAAAACCUUACUUUCAAUAAAUAUGCUUGGAUUCUAGAGCAGCAAACCAUGUUUGUUUUUCUUUGUCAAACUUUGCAUCAUAUAAUCAAAUUAAAUCGAUUGUUGUUAAACUUCCCAAUGGUGAUUCUGUUACUGCCUCUCAAUUUGGUACAGUGGUUUUCAAUGACAAUUUUAUUCUUAAAAAUGUCUUAUAUGUGCCAGAUUUUUCAUUCAAUUUAAUUUCCAUAUCUCAAUUAACUACAUCUCCUAAAUGUGAGCUUAUUUUUUCCUCUACUGAGUGUUUGAUACAAAAUCCCAGAACCAAAGACAAGAUUGGUACAAUUAAUAUUGUAGUAGGUUCUGAUCAAGAGUGAUCAAGAGCUUUGAAGAAUCCAAAUCCAAGGUGUUUGAUGAAAGGCUGGUGUUGCUGCUGUGUGUGGGUGGGAUCUGGGUAGAUUAAAGUGUGAUACACUCUUUUGUAGAAUCUAAAACUGAUGUGAAUUGAAACCUUUUUGAAAUUAAAUGUUUUUCCAACUAAGUGAAAAAAAUCCUAUUGUUUUGUCGAAUCAACCGGUUGUUUUGCUCUUAGAGGUUUUGAAAAAGGUUGAAAGUGUUGAUCAAGAGUGAUCAAAUGCUUUGAAGAAUCCAAGUUCAAGGUGUUCGAUGAAAGGCUGGUGUUGUUGCUGUGUGUGGGUGGGAUCUGGGUAGAUUAUUUUGUAAUCCACUCCUUGUUUGAAUCUAAAGCUGAUUUGAUUUGAAAACCUUUUUAAAAUAGAAUGUUUUUCAACUAAAUGAAAAACAACCUGUUGUUUUGUCGAAUCAACCGGUUGUUUUACUCUUAGGAGUUUUGGAAAAGGUUGAAAGCUAUUUGACUUGGUUGACUAAACUGUCAAAACAAAUCAAUUGGUUGUUUUGUGGUUUCAACUGAUUGUUUCUUUGAAAAUCCUAACAGAAUUCCGUUUUUGAUUGGUGAAUCUAUUUUAAAUGAUUUCUAACUGAAUACGCUCCUUCAUUAAAUUUUUUGACCAAUCUUUGAAAAAUAUAAAUAGUUUGUUAUAUGUUUCUAAAGAGUAAGAAACAGUUUUGAGAAAUUCAGUUUGACAUAUUUGAUCUCAAGUUUUCAAGAUUCACAUCAAGCUUUGGAUUUUCAAGAGAGAGUAGAAUAGGAUUGCAAUUGUAAUCUUUUCAGAUUGUUCUAUGAUCAGGUGUAAUCCUUUCUCAAUCUUUUGGAUUUCUGUUGUUGGAUUGCCAAUGAGUGUUGUGUGUUCUUGAGGUGUUCAAGUAUCAAUACUCUUGGUGUGGUUUGCCAAAGGUAAUGUUGUUUUUUGAGGGGUUCAAGGUCACUACUUUGGUGUGUGGUGUUUUGUAAUCUGGUUUGAUUGCUUAGUGGAUUACCCGUGGUUUUUGGGAACUGGAUGUAACUCUUGUUGUAAGAGUGAACCAAUAUAAACUGUUUGUGUGCUUUUCUCUUUCUCUUAACUCCUUUGAAUUAUGUUUUUAAGCUGUUUGAGUUUUAACUGGUAUAAACAAUCGAUUGAUUCGAAGAAACAACUGAUUGUUUUUUUGUGUUUUGCUUUAAAACAGUUUGAGUUCUUGGCUAACUUGAUUCCUCUUCUGGAUUUCUACACAAAAUUUCUUUGAACCUUCAAAAGUUUUUGAAAUCUCUUAUAAACAAUUCACCCCCCUCUUGUUUAAGGCCAUAUAUGUUGAAGAUGGAAAGCUUUGAUAUAUCAAAUCCUCAUGGAACCUGAAGCUGUGCUGCGUUUUAGGUUUGGGUUUAGUUAUGGGGUUUAGAAUCUUUGUAAGAUCAGUCUUGAUUCCUACAGAAAGCUUGUUUCAAUCUAUUUUAAAGAACUAAGUGUUUUUCCAUGCAAAGGGAAAAACAACCGAUUAAAGUUUCGAGACAAUCAGUUGCUUGUCACUUAGCUGGGAAAGGAGUUUUGAAACUGUUUUUUAAAUCAGUUGUGUAACUGUUGAAACCAUUCAACUGGUUAUAUCGUGGUUUCAACCGAUUAAAAGUGAGUUUUCAUAACAGUAUUUUGAAAACCUGUUUUAACUAAUUCAAUUGUUCAAAUCUGCCUUAAACGGUAGUUUUUUCAAAGGUUAUAAAUAUAACCUUCUUUAAAAAAUUUCACACAUGAGAAAGAUACAAGUUUUACACUUUGAUUUGAGAUAAAAAAAAGAGAUUACAAUCUGUUUGUGAAAAGGAGUUUUCCAAAGUUUAGCAAGAUUGCCUUUGAGAUUUGCUGUGAUUCAAGAAUUGAUCAUAGGGCUUAUGGUUUACUGUAAUUCCAUGUGUUUUCUACCCUUUCUUAGUUUCUUAUAAUUGUUCAUAUUACAUUCUGUAAACAUGUUUGUAAAAUCCUGUAAAGUCAAUGUGACUCUGGAUUAAGGUGUGUGUUGUGUGCAAAGAGGGUGAGUAGGUCUUGUGGUUUCAAGAUCACCUUUUUGUGGGUGUUUAUAAUAUGUGUUUGGUUACAUAGUGGAAUACUCCGUGGUUUGACUGAGGACUGGAUGUAGCUCAGGGUUUGAGUGAACCAGUAUAAACCUUGUGUGUAAAUCUCUCUCUCUCAACUCUCUAACUGUUUGAUAUUUUCGCUGCCAUAAACAACUGAUUAAAUCGUGUUUUUAACCGAUUGAAAUUCUGAUAUCUGUUUCUGUUAGACUGUUUGAUUGACUUUCUGAUAUGCUUAUUUGAGUUGUUUGUUAAAGAUUCAUUCUAAAGUAAAGUAAUUGCGAAAAUCUUUUAGAAACAAUUAACCCCCCCUUGUUUAAGCCAUCAAUUCUAACAAUUGGCAUCAAGAGCUAAGUUCUUGUAGUUACCUAAGUUUUCGAUCCUAAAUCUUUUUUUCUAUGGCUGAAAAACUACCUUUUGGGGAGGGUGCCUCAAUUAACAGGCCACCCUUGUUUUGUGGUUUGAACUAUUAGUUUUGGAAUGUUAGAAUGAAAAUCUUUGUUGAAUCUCUUGAUAAAGGGAUUUGGGAUGCAAUUGAAAAUGGCCAUUUUAUUCCAAAAUUUGAAAAGGAAGGUGCUUCUAUUGAAAAACCUUGGUCCCAAUGGAUUGAUGCUGAAAAUAAAAAGGCCAAAUUUGAUUGCGUUGCCAAGAAUAUCAUAACCUCUGCUUUGAACUCUGAUGAAUUUUUCAGGAUCUCUCAAUGUGCAUCGGCUAAGGAAAUGUGGGAUACUCUAGAGGUCACCCAUGAAGUAACAAAUUAUGUGAAAAGGGCAAGGAAACAUACUCUAAUACAAGAGUAUGAAAUGUUCAGAAUGCUCAAAAGAGAAUCAAUUGUUGAAGUGCAAAAGGGAUUCACCCACAUAGUCAAUCAUCUAAUGAUCUUGGAAAAAUCUUUGACAAGGAGAAGUUGAACUUCAAGAUUCUAAAGCGUCUUGAUAGAUCUUGGCAACCAAAAGAUACUGCCAUCUCUAAGUCUAAGGAUUUGACAUCCUUAACCACAACCUCCUUGUUUGGAAAGCUUAGAGAACAUGAGUUGGAGAUGAAUAGACUCAAUGUUCAAGAAAGUGAAGACAAGCAUGUAAGGAACAUAGCCUUGAAAGCUUCCAAGAACAAAAAUAAGCCAGACUCAAUGAUGAGAAUAAAAAAGAUAUUAUCAAUAAAAGAAAUGGACAAGGGCCAAAACAUUUAAAGUUCUUCUUAUUAGUCUUUGCAAAAGAUGAGGCCCAAGCCCAAAGCCCAAGUCCAAACCAUGAGGGGCAAGGCCAAACAUUAAAUAAAAGAGCAUAAUUUGAAUUACUUUUGUAUAGUUGUAGGAGGUAUGAAUAUUAAAUAAAGAGUGUGAAUAGUUAGGGGGUGUAGACGCAUUUUAGGAGGUGCUGAAAAUAGGAAAGGAGUCACACUUACUUCAUGACUAGGUGACACCAAUUUGCAUUUGAAUUUGGAGGGAACUUUGAGUCUCAUUUGUGUUUCAUUUCAGCCCUCUUCUAUUAUAAAUAGAGAGGUUGAGCUCUUGUAAAUUCAAAAUUGGAUAAUUGAUAUAGAGAAACUCUACUCAUUUGGAGAGAGAUUUGUGUGAGAUUUGGAUCUCCUUGCUUAGUCUCAUCUUGUGAGCUUUUGGAGAGCUUCAAGUGGCGGCUUCCUUCACUCAUCUUGGGACUCCAUCACCAAGUGGCGUGAGCAACUCCAAUUCCCAUUCNNNNNNNNNNNNNNNNNNNNNNNNNNNNNNNNNNNNNNNNNNNNNNNNNNNNNNNNNNNNNNNNNNNNNNNNNNNNNNNNNNNNNNNNNNNNNNNNNNNNNNNNNNNNNNNNNNNNNNNNNNNNNNNNNNNNNNNNNNUAGCUUUGUGUUCUUAAUUCAAUUUUGUUUCGAAAUCUUAUUCCAUGGAUGUUCACAAGGAGAUAACACUCUUAUUUGAGUUUGGAACAUCAUUUGGACGACUAUGUCUCCAAUGAUGAUUCCUUAAGCUUCCUUGAGUCCAAUUUUGUUUUCAGCAUUCUGUUUUGUUCUUGCUUUCCUUUCAAUUCCGCCAAGUGUUUGUGAUAAGGACAUGGCACUCAUUGUUCAAUGAGUUUGGCUUCUCUCUUGGAUGGCAUUAUCCUCCAUUGAGAUGACCUUAAGUCUCCUUAAUGUUGUGUGUCUUGUUAAAGUGUCUAUCCAGCUCAUAUCACUCAAGUGAUGGAGAAACUCUAAGUUUGCUAACCAAAAAGUUCAGCAAAUUUUUUAAGGGAAACCGCAACAAAGAAUCCAACAAAGAAAGGUAUGGAAACAAGAAAACUAGUGAUUUUAAUCCUAACAAUUACACUUGUUUUGGUUGUGGAGAACAAGGGCAUAUGAAAGUUAAAUGCCCAAAUAAAGAAGGCAAGGAAAAGAAGUCAAGCAAGAAAGGGAAAUCAAAAAAGGCCUACAUUGCUUGGGAUGAAAAUGAAGUCUCCUCGUCAAGCUCCUCAUCAAGUGAAGAUGAAAAAGCCAAUUUGUGUUUGAUGGCAGAGGGAGAAGAUGAUUCAAGCAGUGUAAGUUCUUGUGCCUCUUUAAAUGCUGAAAACUAUAGUCAAUUGCUUCAAGCUUUUAAAAAGAAACUCAUGAGGAAGAUAAUUGAUUUGCUCUCUUGAACAACCGGUUGAAAGGGUUGAACAACUGGCUUGAAAAUAGAGUCAAGACACUUGAAUAAGAAUUGGAAAAUUCAAAAACUGAUUUUGAAAAUCUUGAAAUGCAUUGCAAAAAGUCUUAUUGUUUGUGGCACUCAAAAGCUUGUGAAAAUUGUAAAACUCUUGAGAGUAAAGUCCACUAUCUUGUAAGAACUGUGGAUAAACUUUCAAAGGGUAAAUCUAUCUUUGAAACUGUCUUGGCAUUCCAAAAAUGUAUUUUUGGAAAAUCUGGUUUGUGGUUUAAUCCUCAAAACAAGAAAAAUGGGAUUUCUAAGCCUUUUUCAAAAGUGUCAGAAAAACAACCGAUUGAAAAAUCGAAACAACCGUUGUUACACGUUUUUACUGCAAGAAGAGAGGUCACUCUGUAGAUUCUGUAAAAUUAGGAGAUAUUCUGUUCCUAAAGGUAUUAUGAGAUGGAUUCCCAAAGAUUCUAAAGUUCCCAGUGAUAAAUGUAAAUCAAUAGGACCCACCUUUGUAAGGGGACCAAAUCUUGUUGUUUGAAUUUAUUGUGUUGUAGGAAUACUAAGAGAAGCAUGGACUCUUGAGUCAUCAGAUCAAGCUUUUGGAAGGAAGAGAUCUUGUCUGGAAUUGAAGUGAGAAUACUGUAUCAGCUUAACUCUUCUUAAAAGCCAAAAAAUGUUCUCUUGAUCAUACACUAUGACUCAUUGAAGAGGCUCUAUGACAAAAGGAUAAGGCUUUCUUUGUUUCUAUUGUUUGUAUUUUCUUAAUAUGUGUUAAAUCUUCAUCUAAACUGUAAUAUAUGUAGUGCAAAUACAUCUUUCUUUUUCUGCUAUUGAAAAUUCCAAUUUGUUGUUGCUUCAGAAAAACAACCGAUUGUUUUCUCGAAACAACCGAUUGUUUCUCCUCUGACAACACUACAUAAAAUUCAUUUAAUUUCUUUAUGCAUUCUAUCUUUUACAAAUUUCAAUCUUAAAGGAACUAUGAGUCAAUAAAGCAGUCAUAAGAGUCUGAUUUGGUUCAGGAGGAGGUUACUUCUUGUCAUUAAAGGAAUAUAUUCCAUAUCUUGAAAAUUCAAGUGCCUUUAUGACUAGUCAAAUUCACAUGUGCUAACCAUGUGUUUUUUUGUUAUGGGCUGAUGUAUUUAUUGUGCAAGCUUGGACCAGAUUCCUCUUCUUGAAGACUGAAACCCACUGCAACCAAAGGAUCAAAGAGGAUUUCUCUUUUGCUAUAAAACCCUCUACAGCUUUUUUUCUUCACAAAAACAACCCAUUGGCACAUCUCUUGCUGCAUCUCAUAUUCUUCUCUGUUUUUCUUUUUCUCUCAUUCUGUUAUCAUGGAUUCUACUCCUCCAUCAUAAAAAAAGAUUAAAACCAGGGUUGUAAGAACAUGGGGACGUCUUGAAGGCUGGUUUUCAGGAGACAAUGAGUUGAUUGAAAAAUAUCGCUUUGAAACAAGUAGAAAAGUGAUAAACAACCCUAAAGUUGUCUCUUUAAGCUGGUUGAAAAGUCAAAAACUCGAUGAUGUGAGAAAUCUUCUCAAAGGGCAAUUGCUAAAGAGGUUCUUGGAGAUGAAAAGGAACAUUUAUCCUGAUCUUAUUCGGGUUUUCUACACCAACUUGAAGUUUGAUGGCAACAACCUUGUUUCUCAUGUCAAAGGUGUGGAUAUGGAGAUUACUCAUGAGGUAUGGACUGCUGUAACUGGUUUAAAGUAUUCUGGAUUGAGAAUCAACAAAGGGAAUAUUGGUGUGGUGGAAGAUUUCAACAAGAUUCAGUAUUAUAGAAGUUGUUUGAAGAAUCCUCAAGCACAAGAAUGAACUUGUUUUGUGGGAGAGUUGGAGUUGAAUGAAAGGUUGUUGGCUCUCAUUGUCACUUGGAUUCUAACACCAAGAGGGAGCACUCAUUUUGUUCUCACUGAGGAAGAUCUUGUCUACAUAUACUGCAUUAUGAGCAAAGUCAAGAUUAAUUGGAUCCAUAUCAUCAAGGAACACAUGCAGAAAUCUAGGAGGUUAAGUGACUAUCAUUAUCCUUAUGCUACCUUGAUUUCUAAAUUCUUAAACUAUUUUGAAGUAGAUCUUGAGGAAGAAACAUCUGAAUUGGUGAAAUCAACACAGAAGUGAACAAUGGUUCACUAAGCAAGAUGGGUUUUACCAAGAUUGGUGGAAGAUGGGUAGGCAAGGAUGGUGAACAAGGUGGUUCCUCAAGUGGUGCACAUGGUGAACAUGAUGAAGAAGAUCAAGAAGUUGUUGAAGGGGCUGAUGAUGAUGCUCAAAAUGAAGAUCAACCUGCUGCUGACUUAGGUGCUAGAAAUGAAGGAAAUAGAAUUCUCUCAAUGUCUCAUUUUGAGAGACUCAUGGUCAAUAGGUUGGACAACUUUGCUGAAAAUAAAAGGAAUCUUCACGAUCUUUGUGCUACAAACUUCCAAAACUUUGACAACAAAUUUCAAAGCAUGGAUACACAUUUUCAGACCCUUGAUGAACAGAUUGAAGCUGUUCAAAACCAACUUUUUGAGCUGCAGUAUGGGAAAGAAAAUUGAAGCCAAGUUUUGUUAUUUUUACUAUGCUUAUAUUGCUUUUUUUGAACUAUUUUUUUUAUCUCUUCGAAAUUCUAUUUGUGAAGACAAAUAGGGGGAGAAUAUGGUUUAUGUGUUGUCUUAAAACUGCUAUAACCUGCUAUAACUCUGAUUUAAGUUUCUACUGCUUAUGAUGUUUGAUUUGGUGCUGCAGUUUGGUGUGUUUUGGCAUAGUUUGUGGCUGGUUUUUCUACUCUUGUGGUUAUGUAGAAAACUAGUUUAUGUGUAACCAUAACUUGCUAUUAGAGAUGCUCUGGAUUGCAUAGUUUCUGUUUAUUAGGAGUGGUUUUAGAUUCAAACAAGAUCACCACAAGCAACCAGAGAUUUGUCUUCAUCAAAUAGGGAGAGAUUGUUGAUCAAGAGUGAUCAAGUGCUUUCAAGAAUCCAAAUCUAAGAUGUUUGAUGAAAGGCUGGUGUUGUUGCUGUGUGUGGGUGGGAUCUGGGUAGAUUAUUUUGUAAUCCACUCCUUGUUUGAAUCCAGAACUGAUUUGAAAGCCUUUUUAAAAUAGAAUGUUUUUCAACUAAGUGAAAAACAACCUGUUGUUUUGUGGAAUCAUCCGGUUGUUUUACUCUUAGGAGUUUUGGAAAAGGUUGAAAGCUGUUUGACUUGGUUGACUAAACUGUCACACCAAAUCAAUCGGUUGUUUUGUGGUUUCAACCGAUUAUUUCUUUGAAAAUCCUAACAAAAUUCUGUUUUGGAUUGGUGAAUCUGUUUUAAAGGAUUUCUAACUGAAUACGCUCCUUCAUUAAAUGUUUUGACAAAUCUUUGAUAAAUAUAAAUAGUUUGUUAUAUGUUUCUAAAGAGUAAGAAACAGUUUUGAGAAAUUCAGUUUGACAUAUUUGAUCUCAAGUUUUCAAGAUUCACAUCAAGCUUUGGAUUUUCAAGAGAGAGUGGAAUAGGAUUGCAAUUGUAAUCUUUUCAGAUUGUUCUUUGAUCAAGUGUAAUCCUUUCUCAAUCUUCUGUAUUUCUGUUGUUGGAUUGCCAAGGAGUGUUAUGUGUUCUUUAGGUGUUCUAGAUCAAUACUCUUGGUGUGGUUUGCCAAAGAUAGUGUGUUUCUUGAGAGGUUCAAGGUCACUACUUUGGUGUGUGGUGUUUUGUAAUCUAGUUUGAUUGCUUAGUGGAUUACCCAGUGGUUUCUGGGAACUGGAUGUAACUCUUAUUGUAAGAGUGAACCAAUAUAAAAUGUUUGUGUGUUUUUCUCUUUCUCUUAACUCCUUUAAAUUUUGUUUUUAAGUUAUUUGAGUUUUAACUAGUAUAAACAACCGAUUGAUUCGAAGAAACAACUGAUUGCUUUUUUUUUCUUUAAAACAAUUUGAGUUCUUGACUAACUUGAUUCCUCUUUUGGAUUUCUACACAGAAUUUCAUUGAACCUUCAAAAGUUUUUGAAAAUCUCAUAUAAACAACUCACCCCCCCUUCCUUUAGUUUAAGGCCAUAUAUUCGAACAGAAAGCUGUUUCACUUGGUUGACUUAACUGUCAAACCAAUUAAAUCGGUUGUUUUGUGGUUUCAACCGAUUGUUUCUUUGAAAAUCCUAACAUAAUUCAGUUGUGAAUGGUGAAUUUGUCUUAAAUGUUUUCAAACUAAAUACGCUCCUUCAUUAUAUGUUUUAACCAAUCUUUGGAAAAUAUAAAUAGUUUGUUAUAUGUUUCUGAAGAGUAAGAAACAGUUUUGAGAAAUUCAGUUUGACAAAUUUGAUCUCAAGUUUUCAAGAUUCACAUCAAGCUUUGGAUUUUCAAGUGAGAGUGGAAUAGGAUUGCAAUUGUAUUCUUUUCCGUUGUACUUUGAUCAGGUGUAAUCCUUUUCUCAAUCUUCUGUAUUUCUGUUGUUGUAUUGCCAAAGAGUGUUGUGUGUUCUUGAGGUGUUCAAAAUCAAUACUCUUGGUGUGGUUUUCCAAAGGUAGUGUGUUUCUUGAGGGGUUCAGGGUCACUACUUUGGUGUGUGGUGUUUUGUAAUCGGUUUGAUUGCUUAGUGGAUUACCCAGUGGUUUCUGGGAACUGGAUGUAUUUCUUGUUGUAAGAGUGAACCAGUAUAAACUGUUUGUGUGCAUUUCUCUUUCUCUGAUCUCUUUUAAAUUCUGUUUUUAAGCUGUUUAAGAUUUUACUGGUAUAAACAACUGAUUCUUUCAAAGAAACAACCUAUUGUUUUUCUAUGUUUCUCUUUAAAACAGAUUGUGUUCUUGACCAACUUGAUUCCUUUUCUAAAUUUCUUCAUUGAGUUUCAUUAAACCUUCAAAAGUUUUCAAAAAUAUCUUAUAAACAAUUCACCCCCUCUUGUUUAAGGUCAUAUAUUCUAGCAGCAGGCCUAUAUGUUUUCAAUAAAAUGGACAGAAAAAGUAUGAGUUGUGCUACAAAACCAAGAAAUAUCUGGCAUCUUAGGAUGGGACAUCCUUCGGAAGAAAGGUUAAAGAUACUACAAACUUACUAUCUUGAUAUUAAAAUUGAUAGAAAUUACAUUUGUGAUGCUUGUCACUAAGUAAAAGAAAGAAAACUUUAUUUUUUUCCCUAGUAAUACUCGUACUAAUCAAUCUUUUGAAUUACUGCAUAUUGACAUUUGGGUUCCUUGCUCUGUUAUUUCCAUGCUUGGUCAUAAAUUUGUGAUGAUUACACUAGGUAUACUUGGAUUUUUCCUAUGCACAUUAGGUCUAAAGUCAGGGCUCAUGUUGUCUUCUCUUAUUCUGAUUGGUGUCUUGACCCUUUGGUUUGCAUGAGGAUGGUUUGAUAAAUUGACUUGUUGGGUAGCUGUGUUGUCCUUGGAAUUUUUCUUGGUUUUAAACCUAACACAAAAGGCUUUCUUUUUUUGAAUCUUAAAAACCAUAAGAUAGGUUUAUCCAGAAAUGUUGUUUUUCAUGAAAACUUUUUUCCUUAUCAUUCCAAAUGUAUUCAAAAUAAUUAUUCAAAUAUUUUUUAUUUGCAUAUCCCUCACAAUUACGCCCAGACUUAUGAUGAUUUAAUGUGCAAUAUGAAAAUAAUGUUUAUGAUGAUGUUUCUGAUAUUGAUGUUGAGAUUAACACUGAUGUUGAACAAAGGGAGAAUGUCAGUGCUUCCCCUAGACGCUCUACUCAUAGCAGAA